rnacentral:sRNA from 1 species
AGAACAGCUGGAAUCCUUCGCCGCCGGCGCGCAGCAUUCGCCCGCCGGAAUCGCUGCCUUAUCCACCAGCGGGAUGCUUACCUCGCCCGCCCUCUCGGGUCAGGCGGGCCCAGGAGGAUGGGAGGGUGGCUGCUGAGCGGGAGCCGCCACGUCUUCCACCCGACAUAUUGCCUAGAGUUUGCUGUGACUUAGAUCUUGAUUCAGAGAUGGAGAAAUCAGGCUCAUCUUCUACCAUCUCUGAGCAGCAGCUGCAGAGGCAAGAGGGAUGGAGUAACACCAAAACAGACUUGGCUGAGCAGAGUCUCAUUUCAUCUGAGAAAUGGCUUCAACUGCAUGGGCUUAAGAGCAACAAACUGACCUUGAAACAGAUUUUGUCACAGAUCGGAUUCCCACAUUGUGAAGAUUAUGUGGCGUCUCUGGGGAGACCUGUGGCUUCUCGGUAUGCUGAUGGUCUGUUUCCACAGCUCUGCAGAACAGAAGAUGGCAGAGUAUACAAUCUGACAGCUAAAUCAGAACUGAUUUAUCAGUUUGUGGAACAUUUAACACAAGCUGUGGAGAGCUACAAGCAGCGAAUGGACUGGCUCACCAGCAAAAGCCGGCAGAUUUUUGGUGUCAUCUUGGAACAGUGCGUCACCAUAGUUCUGGAUUUUGGCGGCAUUCUGGAGGGGGAGCUUGAUCUGUGCCGAGAGGCUCUAACAAUGGUUCUCCAGGAGCAGGUGGCUCACAUAACCAAGUUCAAUAUCAUACGGGUUUCUCAAGAGCCUGUGAAGUGGCAGGAAAAUGCUACUCCUGUGACCAAACAGUCCAUAGCUACUGCCGUCAGUUGGGUUGAGAAACUGAUGGUUGAGCUGACUGUGAGCGAGGCUGGCCGCCUGGAUGCUCUGCUGGAAGCCGGGAGAGACAAGACUAUUGAAUCCAUUUACUACUUUGUGGUGGGGGAUGUUCCUGAAGAAUCCAAGGAGCUUCUCCUCCAGAGGGCCUUGGAGAUCCCGUGUCCGGUCUACACAGUGUCCUUCAACGCCAGAGGAGAAGGCACUAUAGCUUUUCUAAAGGAUCUGAGUGCCAAGACCCACAGCAGAUUCCAUGCAUUUGCCGAGAGAACAGAGUGUGUAGAAUUUCCUGCAUUCUCCACAAAGGAUGGUGACGAUGUAAUGACUUGGAAUUCAAGGAACCUGAAAGGAAAACUCCCUCCAGGAGCCGGAGUCAGAGAGGAUGUGUUUCUCGUUUGGCGAGAGAUGGAGGAAGCCUGCAGCACGCUGGCCCAGAUCCAGAGGCUGGUGGCCGAGCCUCCCAAGCCCGACGUGGCCACCGUGGACUGCGAGUCAGAAACAACCUCUGUUGAGAUUGCAUCGAAUCCGGAAGACACCUGGGACUCUAAGACAUGGCUGCAGAAAUACGGCUUGAAGGCCCAGAAGCUAUCCUUGUAUGAUGUCCUUGCCGACUGCUCUUUCCGCCACGCUGAUGGGGUUGUGGAUAUAAAAGCCAAACCGGAGAAUGAGUCCGUGCAGACCAGUGCGGAGACCAACAAGAAGACAGUCCAUGCAAAGUAUUGCAGCAGGUUUGUCCAUGCUCCCUGGAAGGAUGGGAGCUUGGUCCACGUCAACAUUACCAAAGAGAAGUGCAAGUGGUACAGUGAGAGAAUCCACACAGCCCUGGCCCAGAUCCGAAGGAGGAUUAAAUGGCUACAGGAUGGGAGUCAAAGCCUCUUUGGAAGAUUGCAUAAUGAUUGCAUCUACAUUCUCAUUGACACAUCUCACUCAAUGAAGAGCAAACUGGACUUGGUGAAGGACAAGAUCAUUCAGUUCAUACAGGAACAGCUGAAAUAUAAAAGUAAGUUUAAUUUUGUGAAGUUUGAUGGUCAAGCAGUUGCUUGGCGGGAACAACUUGCCGAAGUCAAUGAAGAUAGUUUGGAACAGGCUCAGUCCUGGAUUAGAGACAUGAAGAUUGGAAGCUCCACAAACACCCUGAGUGCCCUGAAAACUGCUUUUGCUGACAAAGAAACACAAGCAAUCUACCUUCUGACCGAUGGGAGACCUGAUCAGCCACCUGAAACGGUUAUAGACCAGGUCAAACUUUUUCAGGAAAUUCCUAUUUAUACCAUCUCCUUCAAUUACAACGAUGAGAUUGCAAACAGGUUUUUGAAAGAGGUUGCUGCUUUGACUGGAGGAGAGUUCCAUUUUUAUAAUUUUGGUUGCAAGGAUCCCACUCCUCCAGAGGCUGUUCAGAAUGAAGAUCUGACUCUUUUAGUUAAGGAAAUGGAACAGGGUUACCGUGACCUGGAGAAGAUGCAAGACCUUUAUUCUGAGUCCUUGAUCAUGGACUGGUGGUACAAUGCAGAAAAGGAUGGAGACAGCAAGCAUCAAAAGGAAAUCUGUUCUAUGAUUUCAACCCCAGAAAAGUGUGCAAAGCCUCAAUCUGAUGUCGAUUCAACACAAACUUCAUCCCUGAAUAUGUUGAAGGGACCAUGGGGCCUUUCAGAUCAAAAGGUUCAGAAAAAGAAAGUCCUUCACGCAGAAUCAACCAAAACCAGCCUGCUCAGAAGCCAGAUGUCCUCCCUCAGGAGCUCAGCUUGCAGUGAAAGGAAGGAUGGCCUCUCUAAUGCCAGCAGCCGGAGGACUGCUCUAAGUGACAAAGAAAUGAGCAUCCUGCUGGCUGAGGAGUGGCUGGAUGACAAAUCGUCAGAAAAGGUGACGCGAGAAGGAAGCCAGGUUUAUGACCACCAUUCUUCAGAUGUGUCUUCAGAAAACUGGCUGAAGACCUAUGGCUUGGUUGCCAAGAAACUCACCCUCAUGGAUGCCUUGUCAGUGGCAGCGGUCCCCCACAGCUCCACCUAUGUUCCCGUCCUGGACAAGCAUGUCAUGUCUAAGGUCUUUGAUGAGGUGUUCCCUCUGGCACAUGUGUGCAAAGACACAAAUAAGAUGACAUUAAUUAACCCCCAAGGAGCCAAACUCAAUAUCUACAAGCAAAAAGUGGAACAGGCAAUUCAAUCCUAUGAAAAGCACUUGAAUAAAAUUGUUUGGCAAGCAUUAUCUCAAGAGGAAAAAGAAAAGUUAGAUGCAAACAAACCAAUACAGUACUUGGAAAACAAAACAGUUUUAAACCAGGCUUUAGAACGGUUGAAUUGGCCCAUUUCAUUGAAAGAGCUGUCGAUGCUGGAAAGUGAAAUCCUAGCUGGGAAAAUGUACAUCCAGCAGGCCAUGGAACUCCAGGAGGCUGCCAAGAAGAAUUAUGGAGACAAAGCCCCGGGAGAGCAACAGAAAUUGCAAGGAAAUCCAACAAAGAAAACCAAAUCAAAAAGACCAGAUCCCCUCAAAGGACAGAAGGUUAUUGCAAGAUGUGAUGAAAAUGGCUUUUAUUUUCCAGGUAGUUUUUUUUUUUUUUUAAUUUUGUGAGGCUUUUGUUAAAUAAUUUGAUACUGGGGACAAGAAGUUUCAAUCUGUGCUUUUGCUAGAACACUGACAUUUCAUGAGCUGGCCCGAGCUAGUCCACUUUUCACAGAGAGGAAGUGGAAUAUCUCUGGCCAGCCAUGAAAUGAGCAUAUUUGGGCCCCCCAAAAAAGUAGCCAGAAAAAUGCACUUAAUUUAAUUUCUCAUUUUUUAUUAAACAAAUUUUUAUUACCCAUUUACUGCGUUGCAUGUAUGUAAUAUUUUGAAAGUACUGGUCUAAUGGUAUAAGCAAACAGAUGAACAUUCUUGCUUUUUGGAGAUUACAUCUUAAAGGAGACAGACAAGCAAUGAAAUAAACAGAUAAAAUAUGUGAUGUGUCAGAUACAGUACCAUAGAGAAAAAUCAAGCCACAAAUGGGGUUGAGAAUGUCCGGGUGAGGGUUUUGAUUCUAUAUCUGGUGGUUAAUGAAGAGUUCCUGGGGAAGGUGACAUAUGAAUAAGGACUUAAAGGAGGUGGGGCGAGCCAUGAGACUGGGGAGGGGAGUUCUAAGCAGAAACAACAGCGGUGCCCAGGCCUCAGGGUGGAGUGGAGGAUGGGCCAUGAGACCGGGAUAGCUGGGCCUCAGAGGUUUGCCCCAGACUUCCUGGGGGAUGUGAUCCCUGAAGGAAUCAGCUAGCUGCAAUUCAGCAGGGGGUGGAGGUAUGAAGCGAGUUUCAUGGAUGGUGACAAUAAUACGUGUGAAGACUUAGAAAUAAAGAAAAACAUCUAUGUCUGGAGAAAUAAAAUUGAUUCUGGCUGGAACAUAAAAUGAGAAGGAAGGGUGGAAAUGAUAAAGCUCUGCAGAGAGGUAAGCAUGGGGCUAUGCAUAAAGGGUCGUAUUAAGGAUUUGCACUUUACCCUGAGGGCAAUGAGAGCCAUAUUUAAAGCAGUGAGAAACACAAUCACAUUUGAAGUUUUCAGAAGCUCUCUCCCACUGCUGUGUGAAGAUUGGAUACCAAGGGGUUAGGAUGUCUCUCUGGUCCCUGGCUUCGGGCGGUAGAUAGAUAGUGGUACCUACAGGAGAUGGUGGUGUGGACGGAAAGAAAAUGAGAUGUGUCUGCAACAUGAUGAAUUGCAGGUGCCUGCAAGAUACCAGAUGAAGAUAUCAGACAAGCAGUUGGAGAUGUGGGUCUAGAGUCUGGAGACAGAGAUUUGGGAGACAUAACCACAAAAGUCAUCAUUGAAAUCAUGGGAAGGGUCUGUAGGUAAAAGGGAACUGGGAGAAAACCUUGAGGAAGCUCUGUCAGGCAAAAAGAUUACAUUGCAGGGCGGGUGUGGUGGAUCACACCUGUAAUCCCAGCAUUUUGAGAGGCCGAGGCUGGUGGAUCACUUGAGGUCAGGAGUUCAAGACCAGCCUGGCCAACAUGGUGUAACCUCAUCUCUAUUAAAAAAAAAAAA